rfam:Streptococcus sp. HSISB1 chromosome, whole genome shotgun sequence.
GGACGGACUUCUGGAGAGACCUAGCCAUUUUCAAUGGCACUGGUAUUCUUUAGUUAGUAUGUUUUUAAGGACUAAGUAUUAUAAUACUAACUUUGAGUACUGGAUAGGCGCCGAAGGGGCAAGGUUAAACGUUUUGUUUAGCUCAAACUCUCAGGCAAAAGGACAGAAGAUAAGAA